rnacentral:rRNA from 1 species
UACGUAGGGGGCAAGCGUUAUCCGGAUUUACUGGGUGUAAAGGGAGCGUAGGUGGUAUGGCAAGUCAGAAGUGAAAACCCAAGGCUUAACCAUGGGAAUGCUUUUGAAACUGUCGUACUAGAGUGCUGGAGGGGUAAGUGGAAUUCCUAGUGUAGCGGUGAAAUGCGUAGAUAUUAGGAGGAACACCGGUGGCGAAGGCGGCUUACUGGACAGUAACUGACACUGAGGCUCGAAAGCGUGGGGAGCAAACA